UACAGAGGUCCCAAGCGUUGUUCGGAUUCAUUGGGCGUAAAGGGUGCGUAGGUGGCGUCGUAAGUCGGGUGUGAAAUCUCGGAGCUUAACUCCGAAACUGCAUUCGAUACUGCGGUGCUUGAGGACUGGAGAGGAGACUGGAAUUUACGGUGUAGCAGUGAAAUGCGUAGAGAUCGUAAGGAAGACCAGUGGCGAAGGCGGGUCUCUGGACAGUUCCUGACACUGAGGCACGAAGGCCAGGGGAGCAAACGGG
rnacentral:rRNA from 1 species